CGAGUGGCGGACGGGGGAGUAAUGUCUGGGAAACUGCCCGAUGGAGGGGGAUAACUACUGGAAACGGUAGCUAAUACCGCAUAAUGUCUACGGACCAAAGCGGGGGACCUCCGGGCCUCGCGCCAUCAGAUGAACCCAUAUGGGAUUAGCUUGUAGGUAAGGUAACGGCUUACCUAGGCGACGAUCCCUAGUUGGUCUGAGAGGAUGAUCAGCCACACUGGGACUGAGACACGGUCCAG
rnacentral:rRNA from 1 species